rnacentral:lncRNA from 1 species
GGCCUCUGGAGCCAGUCUUCCCAAGGUGAAAUCCUAACUUUGCCACUUACUAGCCAUGUGAACUUGGGCAAGUGACCUAAUCCUCUGCAUUUCAUCUCUAAAUUGGGGAGAAUAGAAGCAUCUACUUCAUGUAGUAGCCAGGAUUAGAAGAGUGAUGAAGCUAUACUUGUUUCAUUUUCCAGAUGGGGCCACUUGAGGGAAAAGACCUACCCAAGGGCACAUAAUCUGUACAUGAGAGAGAGCCAGAUGUAACAGACUGAGUACUGGACUUGGGGUUAAACAGACUGUGAAUCUUUCCACCCCAUUGGCAAGAAUAACUGGGCCCUGGAUAGAAUGUGAUGAAUGUAUAUUCUUAAUGAGAAGUGGAAAUAAUUUGUGGUUGAGAGCUGUGCCUCAGAUCAGAGUGACAGGAUACAUGGCUAGGCUAUAUUUUCCAGCAGAUUAAGAGCUGCGGCCCAAGACUCUGAAAUAUGAAGAAAAAAGGAGAAGAUGACAGCAUAUCUUUUUAAAGAAAUAUUUUCCAGCCAAAUGGUGUAGCAGAGGACUUCCAGGAAUUUGUUCUUGUUCUGUAUCAAAGGUGAAGAGUUCGUAGCCUUCAAGGAAACAAGAAACCAUGGGAUGGAGUGAAGGAAGGUGGCCUGGAACCAGCUGCUGAGCCUCUCUGAGCCCCAGUUUCCUCGUCUCUAAAAUGGGGCUGAUCUCCUCUCCCUCAGACUGUUGUUGCAGGAAUUAAAACAGGUGUUGAGUGGGAAAGCAUCAGUCCCAUAGCAAAUGGCCCCUGAGUAGUAGGAUCUGAGUUCUGGUUCUGGUCCUGCUGGGGUAUGGCUGGUUGAGAGGUCAAAGAGGUAAUUAAAGGGAUUGCCAGCUUCAUUAUUGGGAGCUGAGAUUCCAUUUUAGACCAAGAGUGUGACCAAGGUGGUAACCUUAACAUUUCAUUUCUUCAUAUUUAUUUAUUGAGCCGAUAUUUUUCAAGCAUUUGUCAUGUACCUAGUAUUUUGUUGCUGCUAGGGUAGACAACAGCCCCCCCGCCAGCCCCUGCCACCACAAUGUAGAAAGUACCUCCACAUCCAUAGGCCCCUCUCUACCCUGGUCCGGCCCACCCAGCCACUUCCUGAGUAGAGAAUGGGGCACAGCAUCCCUAACCUCCCUGUUCCCCAUCCAGACAAGCACAUCCUAUCUAUUCUGUCUCCUGAUGUCAUUCACACUGUCCCUUCUCCUGCAGCACCCCAUGUUUGGCUUUCCAUGUCACCUUCCUCACUGCCUUUCCAAUCCAGGUCCCACAUAGCAGCCAGCGUGGCCCUUCUAAAACACAAACCAUAUCACUCCCUUCUUCAAAACUCUCCAAUGGCUCCUUUCUGCCCCUCCUCAGAAAGGAGACAGCCCUUUGCGUGGCUUAGCAGGACCCUCACAACCUGGCCCUGCCCCUUAGCCUCAUCACACAUAGCGUCUUCAGAGCAC